rnacentral:rRNA from 1 species
CCUACGGGGGGCAGCAGUGAGGAAUAUUGGUCAAUGGACGCAAGUCUGAACCAGCCAUGCCGCGUGCAGGAAGACGGCACUAUGAGUUGUAAACUGCUUUUGUACGAGGAUAAACGCAGAUACGCGUACCCGUCUGAAAGUACCGUACGAAUAAGGAUCGGCUAACUCCGUGCCAGCAGCCGCGGUAAUACGGAGGUUUCAAGCGUUAUCCGGAUUUAUUGGGUUUAAAGGGUGCGUAGGCGGUCGGAUAAGUUAGAGGUGAAAUCCCGAGGCUCAACUCCGGCAUUGCCUCUGAUACUGGUCGGCUAGAGAGUAGUUGCGGUAGGCGGAAUGUGUGGUGUAGCGGUGAAAUGCUUAGAGAUCGUACAGAACACCGAUUGCGAAGGCAGCUUGCC